GGAUCGGUUCACGUCGAUCUGAAAUACUUCCUUGAGCACAUAAUCUCCGGUAAUCUUUGGGAGGAAUGGCGUCUGGCCAUCGAACACGAGACCUUGUAGAUCAUUUUGGUAUUGACCCUGUAGAGCCCAGAAAUGAAAGCUGAUGUAUGACAUAGGGUAGCGCCAGAAGAUCUUCGGAAUGUCGUUGGGAAGCCUAAAAAAGCCGGAUACCAGCAUAAAAAUUCCCUGAAUCCCAGCUCCUAUGACAAUUCCCAUGAGGAAAUUAGGCACCACACUGGCUAUGGCCAUCAUCAAGCUCUCGACCAC
rnacentral:misc_RNA from 1 species